rnacentral:rRNA from 1 species
CAAACGUGUAAGUAACUGUGCACGUCUUGACGGUACCUAAUCAGAAAGCCACGGCUAACUACGUGCCAGCAGCCGCGGUAAUACGUAGGUGGCAAGCGUUAUCCGGAAUUAUUGGGCGUAAAGCGCGCGUAGGCGGUUUUUUAAGUCUGAUGUGAAAGCCCACGGCUCAACCGUGGAGGGUCUUUGGAAACUGGAAAACUUGAGUGCAGAAGAGG